GGUGUAGAGAAUAAUAAUAUAAUAAUAAAAUUGUGGAUGUCGGUUGGGUUGGGUGAAAAACCCUAAAAGUAGAUUUGGAGAUCAGAUCUGAAAUUGUUGAAUGGAUUCAAGCAGGAGGGCGGUAGAGUCGUAUUGGAGGUCACGGAUGAUCGAUGGAGCGACCUCUGAUGAAGAUAAAGUGACGCCUGUUUACAAAUUGGAGGAGAUUUGUGAGUUGCUUAGAUCCUCACAUUCCUCUAUUGUUAAAGAAGUAUCUGAAUUCAUCCUCAAACGUCUCCAACACAAAUCCCCAAUUGUCAAGCAAAAGGCUCUCAGAGUGAUCAAAUAUGCUGUCGGAAAAUCUUGUCCAGAAUUCACAAGGGAGAUGCAAAGAAAUUCAGUCGCUAUACGCCAGUUAAUUCACUACAAAGGUCAACCCGACCCUUUGAAGGCUGAUGCACUCAAUAAAGCAGUCCGUGAAACAGCGCAGGAAGCAUUAUCUGCUCUAUUUUCUUCACAAGACACUAAACCUCCCACAGAAAAUCUAAAUCUUGGUGGCAGAAUACAAGGCUUUGGUAAUACCAGUUAUGAAAUUCAUGAUGAUAAGAGGUCUUUCCUCAGUGACGUUGUUGGUGCUACAAUUAAACAAGGACUUAAUACUCUUACACAAUCUCCUCCUCUCAAAAAGAAUGAUACUGGAACUUAUACAAGUCCAAAUCUUCAGAGCUCAUUGACAACUCAACCUGACACUUCUCACAAUCAUACUUCUCGCUUUUCAACAAAUCCUGCUUCUGCAACUUGGACUCACACUGAAACAACAACCAAGCCACAUUCUGCUGAAAAGACCCGAGAAGACAGGUUAUUAGAAACUAUUGCAACCUCCGGUGGAGUUCGUCUGCAGCCAACUCGGGAUGCACUUCAGGUCUUCCUUCUCGAGGCUUCAAAAUUAGAUGCCUUGGCUUUGACUCAUGCCCUUGAGUCAAAGCUGCAAUCACCUUCGUGGCAGGUUCGUGUGAAAGCAAUCUGUGUCCUCGAGGCCAUCUUGAGGAAAAAAGAUGAUGCUCACUUUGGUACUAUGGCAUCUUAUUUCACUGAAAAUAGAGAUGUUGUGGUAAAAUGCUAUGAAUCUCCCCAAGCAUCAUUAAGAGAAAAAGCAAACAAAGUCUUAAGUCUUCUGAAUGAUGGACAAACAGCUGAUGCUGUGGCUCAUGUAGAUAGGUCAGCAAAUGCUUGUAACCCUGUUGUCCAGAUGCCUGACUUGAUAGACACAGACAAUUCUGAUUAUCUGUUUGGAACAGAUAAUUUAACAAAUAUGCAGAGUAGUGAAGGAAUAAAGAUUGCAUCCACCUCUGCCACCCCUCUGAUGGAUGAUCUAUUUGGAGACAAAUCGGGCAGCAGCUUUAGUUCCAGCCAAAAGAAAAAUGAUGAUGACCCCUUUGCUGAUGUUUCUUUUCACAUCAGUAAUGAGAAAGCGCCUGAAGCUGAUCUCUUUUCUGGAAUGACGGUUGACAAAUCAGAUGCUACUGAAAUCCAUUCGGUGAAUAAUAGAAAUGGACCUGAACUGUUUGAUAUCUUUGGUUCCAGUGUUGAAGUUCCUCGGGAGCCCAAUAAUUCUAGAAAGGAUGUUCCUGAUUUAAUGAAUAGUCUCUCUUUGAAUGGGAAUGAGUCAUCCAUGGAGCAGAAUGGCAGCUCAGGGGCAACCCCCUAUCAGAAUAUAUUUCAAGAGCCCACUAUUGACCCUUGUCAUCACGCUUCUAAUGAUGUCAUGAAUAGCAUACUUUCCUCCCAGGCUGGUGGAGUUAAUGCAAAUCCCAUGUUUCCUUUGGGUUCUAUGCAGUAUAACUUGCCUCCUGGCUUCGUGUUGAAUCCAUCAUUUGCUCCUCAGGCUCUAAACUAUAAUGCUAUGGGAAACAUUUUUGCUCAGCAGCAACUCCUUGCAACGCUUUCCAGUUAUCAGCAAUUAGGGAGCAUGCACUCAUCCACUAGUGCUAGUCAUGCUGCUGAUUCUGCUGAAGUUUAUGGUUCAGCUCUCCCCGAUAUCUUCAAUGCUAGCAUUUCUAAGCAAACUCCUACUUCCUUGAUGAACACUUCGAAGAAAGAAGAUACAAAGGCAUUCGAUUUUAUCUCGGAUCAUUUGGCUGCAGCUCGUGAUCCAAAGAGGGUGAUUUGAAUGGUAAUCAUUCAAAGCAAAUAAGAAUACAUUGCUUAUAAUAUGUAGUAGCUAUACACAAUUUGAAGCACGAAUUUAAUCUGUAAAGUUCCUUUAAGAGCAGUGCUGUCAGUGUGAAAAGACCAACUAUUUUUUUCUUCUUUUCUGCCCAAUAAUGAGUAUUAGCUUUACCUGAUGAACAAAUGUUUGGAUGUCAUUGCCUUCGGAAAUGGAGUGCUGCAAGGGUUUUAGAGGUGUUGUAUUCUGAUAUUACGAUAAUUAUUGGAUGACGUUCUUUGGUGUCUCUCAUGUUAUUCUUUUAUUCCCAUCUCUGUUGUAAAACUAAAACUCUAUAAUAUGAGAAAUAUGGCAAAUUAUGACAAGAAAUAAAUGAAA
rnacentral:misc_RNA from 1 species